rnacentral:rRNA from 1 species
GGUUAAGCGACUAAGCGUACACGGUGGAUGCCCUGGCAGUCAGAGGCGAUGAAGGACGUGCUAAUCUGCGAUAAGCGUCGGUAAGGUGAUAUGAACCGUUAUAACCGGCGAUUUCCGAAUGGGGAAACCCAGUGUGAUUCGUCACACUAUCAUUAACUGAAUCCAUAGGUUAAUGAGGCGAACCGGGGGAACUGAAACAUCUAAGUACCCCGAGGAAAAGAAAUCAACCGAGAUUCCCCCAGUAGCGGCGAGCGAACGGGGAGGAGCCCAGAGCCUGAAUCAGUGUGUGUGUUAGUGGAAGCGUCUGGAAAGGCGCGCGAUACAGGGUGACAGCCCCGUACACAAAAAUGCACAUACUGUGAGCUCGAUGAGUAGGGCGGGACACGUGGUAUCCUGUCUGAAUAUGGGGGGACCAUCCUCCAAGGCUAAAUACUCCUGACUGACCGAUAGUGAACCAGUACCGUGAGGGAAAGGCGAAAAGAACCCCGGCGAGGGGAGUGAAAAAGAACCUGAAACCGUGUACGUACAAGCAGUGGGAGCCUCUUAAUGGGGUGACUGCGUACCUUUUGUAUAAUGGGUCAGCGACUUAUAUUCUGUAGCAAGGUUAACCGAAUAGGGGAGCCGAAGGGAAACCGAGUCUUAACUGGGCGUUAAGUUGCAGGGUAUAGACCCGAAACCCGGUGAUCUAGCCAUGGGCAGGUUGAAGGUUGGGUAACACUAACUGGAGGACCGAACCGACUAAUGUUGAAAAAUUAGCGGAUGACUUGUGGCUGGGGGUGAAAGGCCAAUCAAACCGGGAGAUAGCUGGUUCUCCCCGAAAGCUAUUUAGGUAGCGCCUCGUGAAUUCAUCUCCGGGGGUAGAGCACUGUUUCGGCAAGGGGGUCAUCCCGACUUACCAACCCGAUGCAAACUGCGAAUACCGGAGAAUGUUAUCACGGGAGACACACGGCGGGUGCUAACGUCCGUCGUGAAGAGGGAAACAACCCAGACCGCCAGCUAAGGUCCCAAAGUCAUGGUUAAGUGGGAAACGAUGUGGGAAGGCCCAGACAGCCAGGAUGUUGGCUUAGAAGCAGCCAUCAUUUAAAGAAAGCGUAAUAGCUCACUGGUCGAGUCGGCCUGCGCGGAAGAUGUAACGGGGCUAAACCAUGCACCGAAGCUGCGGCAGCGACGCUUAUGCGUUGUUGGGUAGGGGAGCGUUCUGUAAGCCUGUGAAGGUGGCCUGUGAGGGUUGCUGGAGGUAUCAGAAGUGCGAAUGCUGACAUAAGUAACGAUAAAGCGGGUGAAAAGCCCGCUCGCCGGAAGACCAAGGGUUCCUGUCCAACGUUAAUCGGGGCAGGGUGAGUCGACCCCUAAGGCGAGGCCGAAAGGCGUAGUCGAUGGGAAACAGGUUAAUAUUCCUGUACUUGGUGUUACUGCGAAGGGGGGACGGAGAAGGCUAUGUUGGCCGGGCGACGGUUGUCCCGGUUUAAGCGUGUAGGCUGGUUUUCCAGGCAAAUCCGGAAAAUCAAGGCUGAGGCGUGAUGACGAGGCACUACGGUGCUGAAGCGACAAAUGCCCUGCUUCCAGGAAAAGCCUCUAAGCAUCAGGUAACAUUAAAUCGUACCCCAAACCGACACAGGUGGUCAGGUAGAGAAUACCAAGGCGCUUGAGAGAACUCGGGUGAAGGAACUAGGCAAAAUGGUGCCGUAACUUCGGGAGAAGGCACGCUGAUAUGUAGGUGAAGCGACUUGCUCGUGGAGCUGAAAUCAGUCGAAGAUACCAGCUGGCUGCAACUGUUUAUUAAAAACACAGCACUGUGCAAACACGAAAGUGGACGUAUACGGUGUGACGCCUGCCCGGUGCCGGAAGGUUAAUUGAUGGGGUUAGCGGUAACGCGAAGCUCUUGAUCGAAGCCCCGGUAAACGGCGGCCGUAACUAUAACGGUCCUAAGGUAGCGAAAUUCCUUGUCGGGUAAGUUCCGACCUGCACGAAUGGCGUAAUGAUGGCCAGGCUGUCUCCACCCGAGACUCAGUGAAAUUGAACUCGCUGUGAAGAUGCAGUGUACCCGCGGCAAGACGGAAAGACCCCGUGAACCUUUACUAUAGCUUGACACUGAACAUUGAGCCUUGAUGUGUAGGAUAGGUGGGAGGCUUUGAAGUGUGGACGCCAGUCUGCAUGGAGCCGACCUUGAAAUACCACCCUUUAAUGUUUGAUGUUCUAACGUGGGCCCCUUACCGGGGUUGCGGACAGUGUCUGGUGGGUAGUUUGACUGGGGCGGUCUCCUCCUAAAGAGUAACGGAGGAGCACGAAGGUUGGCUAAUCCUGGUCGGACAUCAGGAGGUUAGUGCAAUGGCAUAAGCCAGCUUGACUGCGAGCGUGACGGCGCGAGCAGGUGCGAAAGCAGGUCAUAGUGAUCCGGUGGUUCUGAAUGGAAGGGCCAUCGCUCAACGGAUAAAAGGUACUCCGGGGAUAACAGGCUGAUACCGCCCAAGAGUUCAUAUCGACGGCGGUGUUUGGCACCUCGAUGUCGGCUCAUCACAUCCUGGGGCUGAAGUAGGUCCCAAGGGUAUGGCUGUUCGCCAUUUAAAGUGGUACGCGAGCUGGGUUUAGAACGUCGUGAGACAGUUCGGUCCCUAUCUGCCGUGGGCGCUGGAGAACUGAGGGGGGCUGCUCCUAGUACGAGAGGACCGGAGUGGACGCAUCACUGGUGUUCGGGUUGUCAUGCCAAUGGCACUGCCCGGUAGCUAAAUGCGGAAGAGAUAAGUGCUGAAAGCAUCUAAGCACGAAACUUGCCCCGAGAUGAGUUCUCCCUGACUCCUUGAGAGUCCUGAAGGAACGUUGAAGACGACGACGUUGAUAGGCCGGGUGUGUAAGCGCAGCGAUGCGUUGAGCUAACCGGUACUAAUGAACCGUGAGGCUUAACCUU